rnacentral:rRNA from 1 species
AUUGAACGCUGGCGGCAGGCCUAACACAUGCAAGUCGAGCGGAUGAAGGGAGCUUGCUCCUGGAUUCAGCGGCGGACGGGUGAGUAGUGCCUAGGAAUCUGCCUGGUAGUGGGGGAUAACGUCCGGAAACGGGCGCUAAUACCGCAUACGUCCUGAGGGAGAAAGUGGGGGAUCUUCGGACCUCACGCUAUCAGAUGAGCCUAGGUCGGAUUAGCUAGUUGGUGGGGUAAAGGCCUACCAAGGCGACGAUCCGUAACUGGUCUGAGAGGAUGAUCAGUCACAAUGGGACCGGGAAACGGUCCCGGAUCCUACGGGAAGGCACAGGGGGGAAAAUUGGGCAAAUGGGGGAAGCCUUGUCCAACCCAGGCGGGUUUGUUGAAGAAGUCUUCCGAUUGGAAAAGCCCUUUAGGUGGGGAGAAAGGGCGUAAGGUUAAAACUUGCCUGUUUGACGUUACCCACAAAAUAAGCCCCGGCUAACUUCGUG